AGUGGAUGGGGAGCAACCUAGUUGUGCGUGUGUAAAGGUAGUGCCAAGAAAAGCGAUGAUCAUGUUGAAAAUCAAUUCCCGGUACCCGAAACCGACACAGGUGGCAAGUAGAGAAUACUAAGGGGCGCGAGGUAACUCUCUCCAAGGAACUCGGCAAAAUGACCCCGUAACUUAGGGAGAAGGGGUGCCACCGAGAGGUGGUCGCAGUGAAGAGGCCCAGGCGACUGUUUAGCAAAAACAUAGGUCUCUGCAAACUCGAAAGAGGAGGUAUAGGGGCUGACGCCUGCCCAGUGCCGGAAGGUUAAAGAAGUUGGUCAGUCUUAGGAUGAAGCUAGCGACUGAAGCCCCGGUGAACGGCGGCCGUAACUAUAACGGUCCUAAGGUAGCGAAAUUCCUUGUCGGGUAAGUUCCGACCCGCACGAAAGGCGUAACGAUCUAGGCGCUGUCUCGGAGAGAGGCUCGGCGAAAUAGGAUUGUCUGUGAAGAUACGGACUACCUGCAUUUGGACAGAAAGACCCUAUGAAGCUUUACUAUAGCUUGGAAUUGUGUUCGGGCUUCCUGUGCGCAGGAUAGGUGGGAGGCGUAGAAGGUAUUCUUGUGGGGAUACUGGAGCCAACGGUGAGAUACCACUCUCAGGAGGCUAGAAUUCUAACUUAAUUAAGGACAGUUUCAGGUGGGUAGUUUGACUGGGGCGGUCGCCUCCAAAAAGGUAACGGAGGCGUACAAAGGUUCCCUCAGACUGGUUGGAAAUCAGUCGAAGAGUGCAAAGGCAGAAGGGAGCUUGACUGCGAGAAGUACAGUUCGAGCAGGGUGGAAACACGGUCUUAGUGACCCGACGGUGCUGUGUGGAAGGGCCGUCGCUCAACGGAUAAAAGUUACUCUAGGAUAACAGGCUGAUCUCCCCCAAGAGUUCACAUCGACGGGGAGGUUUGGCACCUCGAUGUCGGCUCAUCGCAACCUGGGGCGGAAGUACGUCCCAAGGGUUGGGCUGUUCGCCCAUUAAAGCGGUACGUGAGCUGGGUUCAGAACGUCGUGAGACAGUUCGGUCCAUAUCCGAUGUAGGCGUGAGAAUAUUGAGAGGAGCCUUCCUUAGUACGAGAGGACCGGGAAGGACGCACCGCUGGUGUACCUGUUAUGAUGCCAAUUGUAAACGCAGGGUAGCCAAGUGCGGAGAGGAUAACCGCUGAAAGCAUCUAAGUGGGAAGCCCACCUCAAGAUGAGUAUUCUGGUGUAAGGUCACGGGAAGACGACCCGUAAAUAGGCACGAGGUGGAAGUGCAGAGAUGUAUGAAGCCGAAGUGUACUAAUAGACCGUCGGCUUGACC
rnacentral:rRNA from 1 species